UCGAAACCACCCAUCCCCGCCUAGUACUCUGUUGAGUCUGUCUGUGUUUUGGCUCCCUUUCUUCUUCGUGUGCCUCGGCCGUCGAUUGGAUUAAUGGUGAUUUGUGCGAUAGUUGGCUGUGCGAACCACUCGCAUCUUAAACGAGCGAAACUAGAGAAGAAUGUGCAAGAUGAACGAUUCUUCAAGAUACCUACAGUUCGCAGCCGUGAAUGCGAUCGUACCCGUGAACUAUCUGCCAAACGAAGGGCUCUGUGUGUUGCUAGGAUUCGAAGGAAGGACAAUAAUAUGAACAAUCUCUAUAAAUACCACGUUUGUGGACGUUACUUCUCCGGGUGAGCAUUAAUUCGAAAGUUUGCUACCAAUUCUCCACUUUUCACCACACAGCCACAUGAGGUGUUACUUUUGUUAAUGAAAUCUGCGUUUUCGGCUCCCUCGCUCUUUCUUUUUUUCUUUGUAGUGGCUGCCCUGCGAAGUUAUUUGAUGAUUGCGCACCCAACUGGGCUCCUCAUAGAGAACUUGGGUACGAGUUGACGGUGAGUCAACAAUCACAUGAUCGCCACUAUCGACAGCAGAAGCGCAGUCGAAACAGGGAAAAUCUCGCAGCACCUGUUGAGGUACAAGAUGGUCAACAAUCACUUGAAGAGCAGCAGGAGCCCUUGCACUUUAGCCCCAGCUCUCCACGUAGUUCAUGCGAUGCCGAAAUCAACGAAGAGCCAGCUGCAGCAAGCCACUUGAUGUCAUGUAUGUUAUCACACAGAGGUCAUACAAGUCAUAACUGUCUGACUUGCACCUGUUGCUAUGCCUUCAGAAGGUGGCGAAGUCUCGUCAACAGCUCUGAGUAAAAACUUUAGACAACGUGAGGAGCCAGGCCAAAACAUUUCACUCAGCCAAGUUGAUUGAACUGGUGCCACCGUCUCAGAUUUUUCACAUGCAGAGAGUGGACUCGAUCACUCGGAUGUCACUGGUGAGGAUGUUCAUUGAAUUGUUGAAAUGUAGAAACAAACCUCAGAAACCAAACAACUAAUCACUCCCAAACCUUCACUGUCUUCCAGUGAAGGUUUCUAAUCCAGUGUUAUAUGGACAAUGUUGAAAGUGAGCAUUGAUAGAAAUUAUCUGGCAGAGCAAGUACAGCAGGAUAUCUGUUCUUUAGCUUUAGAUCUUGAGCUGGUGGUAGAACAAGACUAAGGAUGAAAUUUAGGCAAUAAAACUAUGUCCUCAUAAGUGCAUGCAUAUAUAAUAAUUCUUCUUUUCUGAAAGCUAAGCAUGCCAUGUCGUGUAAGUACACGCUUCAAAGCUCCAAAUGAGCAGGGCAUGUAGGGCUGUGCAUUAAAAUUGAUAUAAAUUUAAUCUACUUCAGUGCCUCCCACAUCCAGCAGCUAAUGGAUGAGAUCUCACGGCUAAAUGAGCAGUUAUACAGCUGUAGCGCUGCAGCAGCAAAGCAUGAUUUCACGGAAGACAGCCUGAAGAAUGAUGAUGCCAGGGUCCGGUUUUAUACUGGGCUUCCAUCGUUCCAAGCACUCAACUCUGUGUACAGGAUUGUAUGUGAUCACGUGUCACAUGGACCACAGAAUAUUCUGUCAAAGUUUGAGGAGAUGAUUGUCUGUUUGAUGAGGCUGCGUCUCAACCGAAGUUUACAGGACUUGGCCUACAGAUUUGGUGUGUCGGUACCAACUGUGUGUAAGAUUAUCGAUGGAUGGUUUAAUGCAUUGUAUGACAGGCUUCGCCUACUUAUCAGAUGGCCAACACAAGAAGAAAAUGCAAAAACCAUGCCGUUGCCUUUUCGUGAAAAUUUCGGGUGCAAGGUACGGUGUAUCUUGGACUGUUUUGAAAUAUUCAUUGAUCGUCCCAGUUCUUUAUAGAUGUCAGGGCUGCAACGUGGUCACAGUAUAAAGGGCAUAAUACUGUCAAGUUCCUCAUUUCUAUCUGCCCUCUUGGUAGUAUAACUUUUAUUUCAAGGUCAUAUGGGGGCCAAACGAGUGACAAGGUGAUUACUGAAGACUGUGGAAUUCUGACUAACUUGGAGUAUGGUGAUGUGGUUUUGGCGGAUCGGGGUUUUUUUAUUGCAGAGAGCGUAGGGUUGUGCUGUGCAACCCUUCACGUCCCUGCAUUCACCCGAGGUAGGAAACAUCUCAGCUGUGCUGAGUUAGAAUCAACACGUUCACUUGCAAAUGUAAGAAUACAUGUUGAAAGAGUUAUUGGUAUGGUGAGAAACAAGUAUACCAUACUCAAGGGCCCACUGCCAGUUGACACCCUCGUGACUAACAGCAGCAGGGAAGUGCCACAAAUUGAUAAAAUAGCCACUGUGUGCUGCUGCUUGGUAAACCUUUGCAACUCUGUUGUUCCUCCCAUACCAGUUCAUUAAGCAUUCAUGAUGAAGACGAGUUUGUUAGGGUGUUGCAGUUUUGACUCCUCUAAGUUUAUUGCACAUAAAACUAGUAAAGCAGAUAACUGUGAAAUGAUGGUUAAUAAAAAUGAGUAAAAUACCACACAAUUCUAAACGUCACUCA